rnacentral:rRNA from 1 species
UUAAGUAGUAAAGGGCGCACGGAGGAUGCCUUGGCACUAGGAGCCGAAGAAGGACGUGACAAACGACGAAACGCUACGGGGAGCUGUAAGUAAGCAAAGAUCCGUAGAUAUCCGAAUGGGGGAACCCACCGCUUUUAAAAGGGCGGUACGCGAAAGCGAGGUAACGCAGGGAACUGAAACAUCUAAGUACCUGCAGGAAGAGAAAGAAAAAUCGAUUUCCUAAGUAGCGGCGAGCGAAAGGGAAAGAGCCCAAACCAAUGUGCAUGCAUAUUGGGGUUGUAGGACUCUCAACAAAGCGUAUGACGAAGUAUAGUAGAACUAUUUGGAAAGAUGGACCGUAGAAGGUAAAAGUCCUGUAUACGAAAUGCUAAGUUGGCGUGAGAGAGCACCUGAGUACGGCGGAACACGAGGAAUUCCGUCGGAAUCUACCAGGACCAUCUGGUAAGGCUAAAUACUACCUAGUGACCGAUAGUGAACCAGUACCGUGAGGGAAAGGUGAAAAGAACCCCGGGAGGGGAGUGAAAGAGAACCUGAAACCGUGUGCUUACAAGUAGUCAGAGCCCUUAAGGGGGUGAUGGCGUGCCUUUUGUAGAAUGAACCGGCGAGUUACUUUAUCAUGCGAGGUUAAGUGGAAGACAUGGAGCCGAAGCGAAAGCGAGUCUUAAUAGGGCGAAAUAGUAUGAUGGAGUAGACCCGAAACCAAGUGAUCUACCCAUGGCCAGGUUGAAGUUUAGGUAACACUGAAUGGAGGACCGAACCAGGACACGUUGAAAAGUGUUUGGAUGAGCUGUGGGUAGCGGAGAAAUUCCAAUCGAACUUGGAAAUAGCUGGUUCUCUCCGAAAUAGCUUUAGGGCUAGCCUCGUUGUGAGUUUACUGGAGGUAGAGCACUGUUUGGACUAGGGGCCCAUCCCGGGUUACCGAAUUCAGACAAACUCCGAAUGCCAGAUAAAUAUCAACGGGAGUCAGACUGCGGGUGAUAAGGUUCGUAGUCGAAAGGGAAACAGCCCAGACCGCCAGCUAAGGUCCCAAAUUGUAUGUUAAGUGGAAAAGGAUGUGAUGAUGCACAGACAACCAGGAUGUUGGCUUAGAAGCAGCCACCAUUUAAAGAGUGCGUAAUAGCUCACUGGUCGAGUGACAUCGCGCCGAAAAUGUACCGGGGCUAAACAUACAACCGAAGCUGCGGAUAUAACUAAUGUUAUAUGGUAGGAGAGCGUUCUAACAUCAUAGAAGCCGAGCUGGAAGGUGAGGUGGAGAGGUUAGAAGUGAGAAUGCCGGUGUGAGUAGCGAAAGAUAGGUGAGAAUCCUAUCCACCGAAAGACUAAGGUUUCCAGAGGAAGGCUCGUCCGCUCUGGGUAAGUCGGGACCUAAGGUGAAGCCGACAGGUGAAGCCGAUGGACAACAGGUAGAAAUUCCUGUACCACCAAAUAUCGAUUGAGAGAAGUGGGGACAGAGGAGGCUAAUUGAUCGUCCUGAUGGAAUAGGACGUCUAAGCACAAAGGUUGAGUAGUAGGCAAAUCCGCUGCUCAUAAGACUGAAGUGUGAUGGGGAGCGAAAUUAAAGUAGCGAAGUCAAUGAAGCCAAACUCUCAAGAAAAGCCGCUAUCGAGAUAAGAGGUGCCCGUACCGCAAACCGACACAGGUAGUUGGGAAGAGAAUUCUAAGGUGAGCGAGAGAACCAUCGUUAAGGAACUCGGCAAAAUGACCCCGUAACUUCGGGAGAAGGGGUGCCUACGAGAGUAGGCCGCAGUGAAUAGGCCCAAGCGACUGUUUAACAAAAACACAGGUCUCUGCAAAACCGAAAGGUGAAGUAUAGGGGCUGACGCCUGCCCGGUGCUGGAAGGUUAAGAGGAGUGCUUAGGAGUAAUCCGAAGGUAUGAAUUGAAGCCCCAGUAAACGGCGGCCGUAACUAUAACGGUCCUAAGGUAGCGAAAUUCCUUGUCGGGUAAGUUCCGACCCGCACGAAAGGCGUAACGAUUUGGGCACUGUCUCAACGAUGGACUCGGUGAAAUCAUAGUACCUGUGAAGAUGCAGGUUACCCGCGACAGGACGGAAAGACCCCAUGGAGC